GUGAACGCUGGCGGCGUGCUUAACACAUGCAAGUCGAACGAAGCACCUUGAUUCGAUUCUUCGGAUGAAGAUCUUGGUGACUGAGUGGCGGACGGGUGAGUAACGCGUGGGUAACCUGCCUCAUACAGGGGGAUAACAGUUAGAAAUGACUGCUAAUACCGCAUAAGACCACAGCACCGCAUGGUGCAGGGGUAAAAACUCCGGUGGUAUGAGAUGGACCCGCGUCUGAUUAGGUAGUUGGUGGGGUAACGGCCUACCAAGCCGACGAUCAGUAGCCGACCUGAGAGGGUGACCGGCCACAUUGGGACUGAGACACGGCCCAAACUCCUACGGGAGGCAGCAGUGGGGAAUAUUGCACAAUGGGGGAAACCCUGAUGCAGCGACGCCGCGUGAGCGAUGAAGUAUUUCGGUAUGUAAAGCUCUAUCAGCAGGGAAGAAAAUGACGGUACCUGACUAAGAAGCACCGGCUAAAUACGUG
rnacentral:rRNA from 1 species